AAUGGUGAAAGUCGAAAAAGAAAAUGAUACCAAGGGUCAGUGCUCAUCGAUAUCAUAAAAGGUAAGAGAAUGGAAAAUUUUUCAUUAUCCCUACUUUGAUGCCAAAAUUGUAGCUGUCUGUAUUUUAUACUAUUUUCUCCUAAUUGUAUUUUGGUUUAUAAACAGCAGACUGACCAAAGGUUGUUGACCUAUUCACAAAGUGGCCUGCACGAAGGAGACGAAAUCAACGGACAGUUGGACCAGUGUGCCUCCUCACCAUUAUUGAAAGGUAAUUAGAUAGUUUCGUACUGAGAUAAUUAAUAUUACUAAAUACAACUAAAUAAAUAAUUAGGUACUUUAGAGUAGAAUUAGUAUGGAGAGAGGAAAAGAAAAGAAAGAUAGAGAUAAAAAUAAUAUGUAAGAUUUAGAUUGAUUUGAAGGAGAGAGGUUGUUAACGGUUCUCAAAAAAAAAGAGAAAAAAAAAUAUUGAGGUACAUAGUUCAAUUAUUGAGAAAGAGAGAAAGAAAGAUAGAGAAAGAAUAAUAAUCAUUCGAAAAAGAGAAAAGAAGUGAAAAUAAAGAAGGGUCAAGAGACAUUAUAUGAGAGAAAGAUGAAGAAAGCGAGAAGUAUUUAUGCUAGGUUUACAUUGUUGCCUAUCUUAUAUUUAUAAGGUACAAUUGACACGUCAGUUUUUCAUAUAGAGUAGUUUUGCAGCUUAUAGUUUAAUAUUAGUAUUUAUAUUUUAAAAUAGAUAGGAAUAUGUUGAUCGUCCGCAUAUAAUUGAUUCAAAUACUUUAUUGCUUUUAUGUUUCACGCUGGAGGAAAUACAUGGUUCAUUGUGUCAAUUUUCAUCGGAGGAGGUAGAUGGAUCAUUGUGCUACGUCUCACUGGAGUCAGUUCAGUCGCAUGUAGCAUUGCAGUCAAUUGGUCAAAAUGUCAUGGCGCUAUGGGAGUGAAAACAUAAGGUGGUUCGUACGGCCUUACGUUUGCUGCCGCAGCCGGAGGCAUCCCCAGCGAGAUUAGGAACGAGAUUAUGUGCUGGCGCUCCUGCCAGGUAGCAUAUAAAACGCCAUCAUUGACGGUAUGGAUACGGUAAUACCUUAUGCGUAAGACGUGCUCGUCUCGUGCAAGACGCUGUACCGCGAUGCCUGCAAACGUCAGGAGUGGAGGAGUGUCGUUAUUCAAACCGGCGGCUACCAUUUCCGGGUCCUCAAGUAAAGGUUCUUGAUGUUGGAUUACCUGGACGUUGUUAUGCGCCAGGUUAAGGAGCAAAUCCGCGGCUUGGUGCACAUCCAUGAUCAUCCCGUUUUCUCCAAUGUCGCCUUCCAUAUCUUGUGCUAAGUUGUUCUGGUCGUUCGGUAGGAAAUUCGGUGGUAGAGGAUCGAGUGGCGGCAUUCUGGUUGUGUGUGGUGUAAUCGAGUACUUGCAGGCAAAUUUUUCGUAUCACGUUAACCGCACUUGUCGCGAAUGUUUAUUACAAAGAAAAUGAUCCGCACUCUAUAUCGCGAAUGUAUAUGUUAACGAAAAAAUCCGCAGUCUAUAUUGCGAAUUUGACUAAGGUCGGUUCUAGUACCGGUGUUAUGAACUCGAAUUGAAAAUAAGAAAAAAUUAACGCAAAAAAAUGGCAAAUUAUAAGCGAGGCUUUCUAACACGGAUUGGUUUAUACCAAUGUACAACUGCUACUGAGCUGAGUUUAGACAAAGUCGGCCACAAAAUCACGACAAAGUCGAGACAAGAAGUCGCUUGAUAAAAAAGAAAAAAAAAUAAAAUAUCAAAAGAUAGGUCCUUAUCGCGAAUUUCCUAGAAUCGUAUCCGUUCGGCUGGAGACGAUCAAACGGGGGUGACGUAAUUUUGGUACAAUAAUAUUUUAUUGCUUUGUUCGAUGUUUUAACGAUCGCCAAAUUACUGCCUAGUUAACAAUGUGUAAUUUUUUGAAUGUGCAGGUGUUCGAUUUUUGGGGAAGAAAAAUGCUUGUCGAAGAUUUAUGGUCAUCCAUCAAACAGUGGUCAAGUUUUCAGUGAUGAUCUUGGCGACAUAGAUCGCAACAUUUUCGACGUGGGAUCAACCAGUUUUUUCGGUGUCCAGAAAUUAUGGUUACAAUCGAUAAGGAGGAGAAAAAGAAAUUCGGCUGAUAUAAAGAGCGGUCAUCAUUCUAGAAUUUUGAGUUCGUGGGAUAGGUUCGGAAUGAUUGGUACGAAUGUAUUCGUGGUUGCCGAAAAACAGUGAUAGGUACGAUGUUGAAAGUCGACUCGCGAAAGGAAUGACCUAAAUCAAUCGUACUUUCAAGAUUUAUUUGAGGCUACGGGAGCUUCCCAUUAUCCUAGAAUUUUGGGAAAGUGAAAUGGAAUUGACGACUAGGAAUGUGUUUUGUAACCAUCAUCGAAGGAAAUUCUUGAAUAACAAACAAGUGAGCUAUAAAUUUGGAUUUUACGUGUGAAUACUAUUCCUAUCUAUUUUUCGAAUGGUGUGUAAUUUUGUACAGGUUUUCAGAAUUUGAAAUUUCGACGAUAUUUUGGGAAGCUGUGUUGAUUUGAAAUUCCUUAUCUUAUGGUCAUCAACGUACUGCAAAUUUUGGCGAAAACGUGUGAUGUUGAACCGGAUCUAGAUCCUAAUUUGUAGAUUCAUUCAUCGUGUACAAGGAAUAAAAUACUUCAGCGAUGUAUUUUAUCGUUCCUGAAUGCUACUUCUAAUACAGAUUUUUUGAAAAAAUAUAUGAUCGUUUUGAGUGCACAAAAGGAGCGACGUGGGACCGAAGAAUUUAGCGACCGGAUUCAUGCUUCAAUAUUGGGUGAGAGUUGAUUGAUUUAUUUAUUUAGACGCUGUUAAUUUGGGUUAUGAUCGAGAAGAAUUUUUUGAAGAAAUGUGGACACGGAUAAUGAGUAUUCGAAUCGAAGAAAAUGAAGAUUUCAAAUUUCACGACGUGGUACAGCUUGGGGUAAUGGUGACGGGUAACAAACGAAGGCUACAUGUGUUUUUGAAGUAUCCAGCGUUUAUUAUCCGUAGCUGUUAUUUCCUCACACG